UUUUUUUCCUCAGUAAGAACAUUGCAGAUGCUUGUUAAUAAUUUGUGGCAGAGUUUACAGACAAGUUUACAAGUCAUCAUGUGUGCAAUCGGCUGUGUGCUUAUUACAUCGUUUGCUUUCACUCCUGCUGGCUAAAAUGGGAAAUUAACAGAGCAUCCUUUCUCAAGGCUUAAAAAGAUCCAGAAGAUUAAAAAUAGCCUGAGGCUUAAAAACUUCUUCACCUGGUGGUCUCCGACUGACUGAAACACAGAACAGGGACACCUGAGAGAUCGCAUUUCUGAGGUGUGCUGAACACCACUGAAGCUCAUUGACUCCUUGAAUCAGCACCUCACGCAAACGCACCUCAAAAGAUCAAAAAGCACCAGUGAUCUUUCCGAGAGGAUCUGCAGAUGGCUGCCAUUUAUCUAGACAGAUGAACUCAUUUACAGGAAAAGGAGAGGCAGAGACACACAGACUGACAUUUCUACCGUGUGGUUUGAAGCUGCAGUGUAAAGCCCAGGGUCUCUACUGUCCUUAGAAUGCUCAUCUU